UUGUGUUUUAUGAAUGGCUACCGGUCUAUAUGGGAAGCAAAUCCAUCUCUGUCUAUCCGGGCUUGGUGUCCUACUUCCACGCCGCAAAGUUCAGCAGGUGUGAGAAGAAGCACAGGGUCUCUGGAGGCACCGAUGCUGCAGCCGAGGGUCCCAGAGGUGCUGUUCUUUGAGGAUGAGAACAUGCGUUCAAAGAUGAGGCUGCACCUGGUUUCUGCGAUAGGCGGCGGGGGCCAGCACCUGAACGUCAAAGCCAUGAGGGAGCACGGGGGAGCAGUGACCAGGGAACAGCGAGAGCAAAGUGCCGGAACCUUCUCAGACGUGCCUUUGCACAGGGUCUCCAGAGCAGAAGUCAAAGAUGAUGCUCUUCAUGCAUGACAUUAGCGGAAAUGGGUCCUUCAUUGAAAAGUCUAGUGGCUGUCCCUCCCAGAGCCGGGCUGAGGAGGCCGUUACGGCGAUGAUGUGAGCUGCCAGGUUCAGCUUGGCCGAGGAGGUCAUCACGGUGAUAGUGGGGGCCGCCGGUUUCCUAUGGGCCAACCCUUGUCAUACUGGUACUGGAGGAAACAUGACUCACCCCCUGGAGGCUAAAUGGUGUACUGCAUUCAACCCAAUUGGCCUGACUGACAUCUUGCUGCUUGCCAUCCUGGCUGUACUGUAUGCCUUCACCACACGUCAUUUUCGCUGCAUCAGCUCCCGGUGCCUCUGGGGUCACACACAGUCUCCACGUGCUGAUCCCCAUUCCCAUGAGUGAGUGUCAGCAGAACCGUGAGCCUGGAUCAGGGCCAGAUCUUGGUUGGCCAGAGGGCAAAUCUCACAUUCUGAUUGGCUGUCUGUUGACAGUGCAUAGUUUCUCCUUUCACUGAAGACAAGCACUGUAAUCUUGUUCAAUAUCAGUAUUACAUGAAUAGAACAAUACAUCAUGUCAGAAUAUAUUUAAUAGAAGCAUGUGGGAUUCUUUGUACACCAAAUGUCCUGCUGAGUGAUGUAGUCUCACCUUCGCUAUAAUUUAUGUAAGUUCAUACAACCUUAAACAACUAGGCCUCCAGCUGUUUCCUAACAAGCAGAAAACUUUGUCUGACUGUCAUCCCUGACAGCUAUGUGCUUAUGCAGGAUCGUCGCUUUCAUAUCUACCUGAUUCGGCCAGGAAUCCUCUCUCUGAUGGACGAGCUCAUCAGCCUGAGCGGAUAGAAAGUGGAGGAUCCUGUGCUGACAGCAGAGCUUCUCCCUUCUGCAGGCUGAUCGGGGUGCGAAUCGCAAGCUUCGCCACAACACUGUUCCAUUUCAGCUUCGCAAGGCAGUGACUUAUUAUCUGGCAAUAUUUAAAAUGUUACUGCAGCACGAUACGGUUCAGUUUCAUUCAAUAAUACAUGAUCAACAUUUUAAAAACAGUGAAACAAGCAGAUUAUAGAGGAAUUUAUUUUAAUUCAAAAUGACAAUACACUUUUAUUUUUCAUUUUAACGGCAGAAUAGAAAAACUAUAUGUCUGAGAAGGAAGAAAUAUCUGCGCAAGAAACGUCAUCUUGUACUUUAACAGCAAAGCUAUUUUUGGAUAUGUAUGGCUUACUCUCUGAAAACCAUAAAAUUCACGGUAAUAUAUUACUCUCUGGUAAGCUGAGUCUCUAGACUGCUAUGCCAGAUUUUUUUCACAGAUUUUUUUCCCCAGUGUUUUGGCAUAUUGUCAUGGUUUAAUGACAUAAUGGUUGUUAGUUGAGUCAAUUAAGAUAUAUAUUAUAUGUGUGGGGCGGCCACCAGACGGUGCAAACAGGCAAAUUUUGAGAAAGAUACUAGCAUGUCUGCCACAGCAUAAUUUGAAAGCUUGCUUCCAUCAGGAGUGUCCUUCAGCUUUCAGUAAGAUAACGACUCAUUAUUGCUGAAGAAUUAUCUGUUGAUAACAGAACAUGAGGAACAGCUCAUGACCUGGACUGCCUGGUCUUUAAUCCCAUUCAACUUUUAUGGGCCAAACUGGACAAAGGAGUCAAAUACGGCCACAAGCACCACACACCUCUGGGAACUGCUGUGUAAGACCCGGGAAGUAAAGAGGGCUGGUUUCCCGUUGAAACUUGUUAACUAAAUGGUUUGUAUCUAAGAAGCUGUUAUUGAGGCGAAUAGAGCCUGUUAUGAGGAAUCAAUUUCCUUCAAUACUGCUUUCGUGCUCCUGCCGUCUUGUUUUGUAUAUUAUAGUGUUUCAUUGUUUACAGAAAAAUCAUUGAUGUAACAAGAACUCAAACUUUUGAUUUGUAAUGUAUUGUGCUACUUAUCAUUUGCAUACUAGCUUAUAAAUCAACAACCCGUAUUAUCAAAAGUUUCUGAAAGAUAUAGCUUAGCUGCUAAGGAUGUAACAAUUCGUCGAAUCAAAUCGACAUAUCGAUUGUUACGGCCACAAUAUGAUUUAAUCCAUGGUAACAGAUCAGUCAAGACAAACCCCAUCCCUCAAGUAAAAACACAGGACAAGCAGUAGCAAGUACAGAAUGCAGUCAACAUUGCAUCACAUUGACACCAUUCACAUAGCAAUUCUGCAAUUGCUGCCUUUAGUUGGUUUGGGGCUUCACUAAAAACUUCACUGGUGAAGCAGCCAACAGAAUGGCCAACAAUGCCUGAGAAGCAGGACAAAUGUCAUUUUGCUUUGCAUGUAUAAAGUCAUUGAAGGGGCUUUCGUAAUGAAUAUUAAUAAUGCAUUCUGUAAUGGUCUGAUUGGUGAGAAAUGAAAUUAGGUGUGAAUCCCCAACUAACAAAGAGGCCUAGAAGGACAAACUUGGGGGGGGGGUUACAGCUUAUCCCUAAGGUGCACUUCAUCUGGGUGACCCUAACCCAGCGGCUGUUUGAGUGGCCGUCUGACAUCAUCAGGGACGUGGACGAGAUGGACACACAGGACCUGGUCUCAAUCCACAUCUGCAUCACACAGCUGUCGAGAGGUUCGACCUUCAGACUAAAAUGCUGGUGAGGAAGUAGUAAGUGGAUAGUGACUUGUGUGAGGAGACACCAAGUAGUGAGAGGAUAGUCAGUGGUGUGAGGAGACACGAAGGAUGAAAUUGAGCAUGAGCAUGUAUACCAACGACAUCAUUUAUUAUAUUGUAAAAGUGGCACAGCUGAAGUUGCCCUAUAUCGGGAUGUAAAAGGUGUGUUUGUUUGGGAUGCCUGUCUUCCGCAGCAUGUGUGCGAGUGGCAUUUCCAGAAGGUGUGGAACAGGAGUCACUUCAGGGGCCUUCGCUCCAUCACCCACUUUGGCCGCCCCCAGUCCUGUCCUUCUUCAGCUGUCUGCAGAAGUCUAUCUUCGCUGUGGCCCAGUCCGUCCCCAAUACCCCUUUUAAAGCUCGGUUUCGACCUGCCAGCAGCUGUUCCAGUUCUCCCGUCUACGCCCCACGGUUACCUACGAACAGGUGAACGAUAGCAGACGGCCUAAAUUGUAUCGUAAGUGGUUCUUACAGACUGACGUCACCCAUCUUUG